rnacentral:lncRNA from 1 species
UUUGGUUUAACCAAUUCUAUCCCUUUUUCUUCCAAAGCUUUACCCAAAUCAUCAACGCAAGUUUCUGAGUCAUCAGGCAGCAAUGGCAGGUCAUACGAUGGGGUAUGACCUGACAUUGCUGGUGCUACUCUUACAGCACCACCAAGAGCAGUGGCAGAGUAGGCAGCGUAAGCCCAUGCUGCCAGAACCGGGCAGCAUCGGCUUUUGUGUAGCUGGCCGGUGCUGCCACUACCACAAGCAGUCUUUAUACCAUGGAAAAGUUCAUCCGGAAGGUCUAGCGG